rnacentral:rRNA from 1 species
AGAGUUUGAUCCUGGCUCAGGACGAACGCUGGCGGCGUGCUUAACACAUGCAAGUCGAACGAGGGCCCGGAGCUUGCUCCGGUGACCCGAGUGGCGGACGGGUGAGUAACACGUGACUAACCUACCUUCGGGAGGGGGACAACCUGGGGAAACCUGGGCUAAUACCGCAUAUCGUCCAUGGGCCGCAUGACCUGUGGAUAAAAGGGAGCCUCUGCUUGCAAGCUCUCACCCGAAGAGGGGGUCGCGGCGUAUCAGCUAGUUGGUGGGGUAACGGCCUACCAAGGCAACGACGCGUAGCGGGUCUGAGAGGACGACCCGUCACAUUGGGACUGAGAUACGGCCCAGACUCCUACGGGAGGCAGCAGUGGGGAAUAUUGCGCAAUGGCCGAAAGGUUGACGCAGCGACGCCGCGUGUGGGAGGACGCCCUUCGGGGUGUAAACCACUGUCAGGGGGGAAGAACUUCGCAGGUGUUAAUAGCGCUUGCGGUUGACGGUACCCCCAGAGGAAGCGCCGGCUAACUCCGUGCCAGCAGCCGCGGUAAGACGGAGGGCGCAAGCGUUGUUCGGAAUUACUGGGCGUAAAGGGCAGGUAGGUGGUCUGUUAAGUCUUCUGUGAAAAUCCGGGGCUCAACCCCGCGAAAUGCAGGUG